AGUCCGCCCGUCCGGAGCCCGGCUCGCUGGGGCAGCAUGGCGGGGUCGCCGCUGCUCUGGGGGCCGCGGGCCGGGGGCGUCGGCCUUUUGGUGCUGCUGCUGCUCGGCCUGUUUCGGCCGCCCCCCGCGCUCUGCGCGCGGCCGGUAAAGGUGCGCCGCGGCGCUCCGACCCCGGCCCCCGGUCUACGACGACGGCCCCGCGGGCCCGGAUGCUGAGGAGGCAGGCGACGAGACACCCGACGUGGACCCCGAGCUGUUGAGGUACUUGCUGGGACGGAUUCUUGCGGGAAGCGCGGACUCCGAGGGGGUGGCAGCCCCGCGCCGCCUCCGCCGUGCCGCCGACCACGAUGUGGGCUCUGAGCUGCCCCCUGAGGGCGUGCUGGGGGCGCUGCUGCGUGUGAAACGCCUAGAGACCCCGGCGCCCCAGGUGCCUGCACGCCGCCUCUUGCCACCCUGAGCACUGCCCGGAUCCCGUGCACCCUGGGACCCAGAAGUGCCCCCGCCAUCCCGCCACCAGGACUGCUCCCCGCCAGCACGUCCAGAGCAACUUACCCCGGCCAGCCAGCCCUCUCACCCGAGGAUCCCUACCCCCUGGCCCCACAAUAAACAUGAUCUGAAGCA
rnacentral:lncRNA from 1 species